UCCGGCCGCGGGGAGCCGGGGUCGUGCCAGAGCAGGGAAGAACGAGGGCAGCCCUUUCUCCGUUCCUCCCGUGCUCCGGGACCCCGAGCAGAGCUGUCCGUCUGUCCCCAUGUCCCUAUGUCUGUCCACAGGCAGCCCCAGGAGCUGGCACGGACCGUGCCGCGGGUCGGGCACAGGCUGCUCUCACCUCUGCCUGCGGAACUUCUAUAACUGCCGACAGCAGUUCUUUUCCCUGCCAUCCAUAAGGUGCAGCUCAUCUGACACCUGCCAGACGGGGAAGGUCCUGCCUGGGAGGGAAAGGGCUACAGGAGAGGAAACAAAAAAAUGCUCCAACCGGACGCUGCCGCGCGGGUCACAAGAGAGGCAAGACCGCAGAGAAAUACAGUCAGGAAAUCCGCUUUUAUUAAAUCUCUACAGCUCUCCCUCCUCUGCACGAGCCCUUCGCAGCCACGGGCCAGAGGGAGCGCGGCCGGCUGGGCUGUGCCCGGCUGGGGACGGGCACCAAUUCAUCGCUGCCGUGCUCAGGGAGGUUUUUCGGCCCCGUCCGGGAUUCACCCAACGGCUGUAAAGGAGCUCGUACGACGUCUCUUUCCAGGGAUAAAGGAGCCAAACGAGACCGGAGGGUUCCCUCGGUCCGAGGCAAAGGCGUUGGUCGAGUGUCGCCGCCCGGUCCCGCCUGCGGGGGGGCGUCUCCUCCAGGUGAAUUGUACACAAGCCAGUCCCCCAUUCCCUAUCCAGGCUGUGAGUGUUCGUGCCCUUGGCACAGUUGGCUCUGGCUGGGCAGGAACUGAGAGCAGGACACGAGGCAGAGUGGAUCAGCUGCCCAGGGAACCUCCAGGAGAUGAAGCUACUGGAUCCUCAUUCCAAUCAAGGGAACACAUUCUGUCUCUGGCAGAAGCCGGGAGCCAAAGCAGAUCCCGCCUGGCCAGGCUGGGGGGCAGCAAUUGGAUCCACUCUGGGGGAAACCCCUGUGCCUGCCAGGAGCUGUGACUCCGUUUGUCCUGCCAGCUCCUGACCGGUGUCAGGGCCACUGGGAGGGAUUCAGAAUCCAAAGAAACCCCAAAUCCUACCGAGGGACUCAUCCAAAGGAAGAAAGCCAUUAUUGUCACAAAAAGCUUAAAAACCUGUUAAAAAUUCUAGGACAGCAAUACUGGGAUUCCCAGUAUCCUUAUUAGUGCUCUUGGUUCCAUUUCAAUGUAUCUUUAGUCCCUCAAUGAGCAGCUUGGAGAACUUCCCCUGGGAUUUAGAGGCUGAGCAGGGUCUGCUUUGGAUUGCCUUGCACCUCUGGUCCCAGCUGGUGCAAACACAACUUAGGCCAACGUGGUUAAAGACACUUUCCUACAAAAACAGUUCUGUAUCCCCUAGAAAUUACCCCAAGUUUGCAGAUAAAAAUGUUACCUCUGUCCCCGCUAAGUUAUCCCAGGUUUUCCUGGCUGGGAGCUGCAAGGAGGCUGUAAAUUGAAAGGCAGAAAGAGAAGAUCUGUCAGCAAAAGGCACAAAGAAGGGGACAGGCUUCAGAAAAUAUUUUUACAAUCUAAUGAAUAACUAUUUCCAGUUUCCCAGUGAGAAGAACAUGAACUCACUGCCACCAAGGCC